rnacentral:rRNA from 1 species
UACAGAGGUCCCGAGCGUUGUUCGGAUUCACUGGGCGUAAAGGGUGCGUAGGCGGUCGGGUAAGUCUGACGUGAAAUCUUCAAGCUCAACUUGGAAACUGCGUCGGAUACUAUUCGGCUAGAGGAAUGGAGGGGAGACUGGAAUACUUGGUGUAGCAGUGAAAUGCGUAGAUAUCAAGUGGAACACCAGUGGCGAAGGCGAGUCUCUGGACAUUUCCUGACGCUGAGGCACGAAAGCUAGGGGAGCAAACAGG